UCGGGAGGGCGCUUACCACUUUGUGAUUCAUGACUGGGGUGAAGUCGUAACAAGGUAACCGUAGGGGAACCUGCGGUUGGAUCACCUCCUUACCUUAAAGAA
rnacentral:rRNA from 3 species